rnacentral:rRNA from 1 species
GCGGUAAUACGAAGGGUGCAAGCGUUACUCGGAAUUACUGGGCGUAAAGCGUGCGUAGGUGGUCGUUUAAGUCCGUUGUGAAAGCCCUGGGCUCAACCUGGGAACUGCAGUGGAUACUGGGCGACUAGAGUGUGGUAGAGGGUAGCGGAAUUCCUGGUGUAGCAGUGAAAUGCGUAGAGAUCAGGAGGAACAUCCAUGGCGAAGGCAGCUACCUGGACCAACACUGACACUGAGGCACGAAAGCGUGGGGAGCAAACAGGAUUAGAUACCCUGGUAGUCCACGCCCUAAACGAUGCGAACUGGAUAUUGGGUGCAAUUUGGCACGCAGUAUCGAAGCUAACGCGUUAAGUUCGCCGCCUGGGGAGUACGGUCGCAAGACUGAAACUCAAAGGAAUUGACGGGGGCCCGCACAAGCGGUGGAGUAUGUGGUUUAAUUCGAUGCAACGCGAAGAACCUUACCUGGCCUUGACAUGUCGAGAACUUUCCAGAGAUAGAUUGGUGCCUUCGGGAACUCGAACACAGGUGCUGCAUGGCUGUCGUCAGCUC